rnacentral:rRNA from 1 species
AGUGAACGCUGGCGGUAGGCCUAACACAUGCAAGUCGAACGGCAGCACAGUAAGAGCUUGCUCUUACGGGUGGCGAGUGGCGGACGGGUGAGGAGUACAUCGGAAUCUACUUUUUCGUGGGGGAUAACGUAGGGAAACUUACGCUAAUACCGCAUACGACCUACGGGUGAAAGCAGGGGAUCUCCGGACCUUGCGCGAUUGAAUGAGCCGAUGUCGGAUUAGCUAGUUGGCGGGGUAAAGGCCCACCAAGGCGACGAUCCGUAGCUGGUCUGAGAGGAUGAUCAGCCACACUGGAACUGAGACACGGUCCAGACUCCUACGGGGGGCAGCAGUGGGGAAUAUUGGACAAUGGGCGCAAGCCUGAUCCAGCCAUACCGCGUGGGUGAAGAAGGCCUUCGGGUUGUAAAGCCCUUUUGUUGGGAAAGAAAAGCAGCAGGUUAAUACCCCGCUGUUCUGACGGUACCCAAAGAAUAAGCACCGGCUAACUUCGUG